rnacentral:lncRNA from 1 species
UCGGAAUUUAGUUGGUAAUGCACAUUAAUGUAUUGUCUUUAUUUAUUCUCAUUUCUUCAGUUAAUUGGAACAAUAAGAAAAUAUAGUGUUUCGUCAAACUGCAUGUAAAUGAGUUCACUGACGUUUAUCCGUCCAGUUUCUGGGAAUUGGAUAUCGUUGACGGUUUUCUUUUACGUAAUGUUUGUCAUGUGUAGCCAAUGUAAUCGUUGUAUAACUAAAUACUAGCAAUGAACCUUGAACCUGAAAGGAUUUUAACUAGCUACAAAUCAAUCUGUUUGAUGAAUUUAAACUGUUAACGAUGUUAUAAAUUUAAGUCUAAUGUUAUUUUUAAGCACAUCUUUAUUUUAGCCGUCGAUCA